rnacentral:rRNA from 1 species
GAUGAACGCUGGCGGCGUGCCUAAUACAUGCAAGUCGAGCGAACGGACGAUAAGCUUGCUUCUCUGAUGUUAGCGGCUGACGGGUGAGUAACACGUGGAUAACCUACCUAUAAGACUGGGAUAACUUCGGGAAACCGGAGCUAAUACCGGAUAAUAUUUUGAACCGCAUGGUUCAAAAGUGAAAGACGGUCUUGCUGUCACUUAUAGAUGGAUCCGCGCUGCAUUAGCUAGUUGGUAAGGUAACGGCUUACCAAGGCAACGAUGCAUAGCCGACCUGAGAGGGUGAUCGGCCACACUGGAACUGAGACACGGUCCAGACUCCUACGGGAGGCAGCAGUAGGGAAUCUUCCGCAAUGGGCGAAAGCCUGACGGAGCCACGCCGCGUGAGUGAUGAAGGUCUUCGGAUCGUAAAACUCUGUUAUUAGGGAAGAACAUAUGUGUAAGUAACUGUGCACAUCUUGACGGUACCUAAUCAGAAAGCCACGGCUAACUACGUG